rnacentral:lncRNA from 1 species
UUCUUUUACGACGGAGCCUAAGAUGUUCUUUGUCUUGUUGGUGAGUGCGUUAUAGUCGGAUGACCAAGUGAAAUAUAGGGGUGCAACCAGGAUUUGGAGGCUUCUGAGACUUGAAUUUAGGGUACUGGUGUAAACUUCCUCGGAGAAGUGCGCAGCAGCUAAUGAUAUUUCGGGAUUGGAGUCUGGGCCCCAGUGAGAUUCGUACUAAGCGGCCUGACUGAAGGCCGCAUGCGUUCUAGUUCCUGAGUCCCCGCGUGGGUAGGUUUUUACAGCAGGGUUUGCAGCCUUUUGUGCUGUUCCGAAGGUACUAGAGUCGCCGAAAGAGACAUCCGAUUAUAUGCACGUUCACAAGGACAAUGGCGCCAUUGUUCUUCGCGUCUUCAAAGCAGCUACAAGAAGAAACCAAGAUGGAGGGGAGCCCAAAGCAUCUGAGAGAAUUGAUAAAUGAAAGAAACAUGCUUAAAACAUGACCGUUUUAAAGGUGAAUGCUGACCAGUGAGAAAACUAGAUGUGACCAUCCAGAAAAAGCAUAGACAAAAAUGCAGUCUGAGUAGUGGGAUGUUUGAGAUGGGGUCUAUGUACAUGUCUCUAGCUGUCCCUAUCAGGACAGCAUCUGGGAUGGCCUGCAGAGUUGAUUCCUGUACUUUUUUUGUGUGUGGGCUGUAUGUAAAUGAUUGUUUUGACAAUCCAUUCGUCGGUGUUCUCUUCUGUGAAGGUCAUGGGUGAGCUGAUGACAGACAGCUGUACAGACUGAAUGCAAUCCUGACUAUAAAGCCGCAGUUCAUUAUGAGCUAUUUCCUUAUUCUGGCAGUGAUUGAAAUAAAAUGGGAGUGUUGGAAUAAAAAACAUUCAAUUGCAAA